rnacentral:rRNA from 1 species
GACACGCUGGCGGCGUGCCUAACACAUGCAAGUCGAACGGGAUCCAUGAGAGCUUGCUCUCGGAAGAUCUAGUGGCGAACGGGUGAGUAACACGUGAGAAACCUGCCCUGGAGUGGGGAAUAACUCGGGGAAACCCGAGCUAAUACCGCAUACCCUUGGAUGAUCGCAUGGUCGACCAAGGAAAGAUUUAUCGCUCUAGGAGGGUCUCGCGGCCUAUCAGCUAGUUGGUGGGGUAAUGGCCUACCAAGGCAACGACGGGUAGCUGGUUUGAGAGAACGAUCAGCCACACUGGGACUGAGACACGGCCCAGACUCCUACGGGAGGCAGCAGUGGGGAAUCUUGCGCAAUGGGCGAAAGCCUGACGCAGCAACGCCGCGUGCGGGAUGACGGCCUUCGUGGUUGUAAACCGCUUUCAGCAGGGACGAAAAUGACGGUACCUGCAGAAGAAGCCCCGGCUAACUACGUG